rnacentral:rRNA from 1 species
UACGUAGGGCGCAAGCGUUGUCCGGAAUUAUUGGGCGUAAAGAGCUCGUAGGUGGUUUGUCGCGUCUGCCGUGAAAGCCCGGGGCUUAACUCCGGGUCUGCGGUGGAUACGGGCAGACUAGAGGCAGGUAGGGGAGAACGGAAUUCCCGGUGUAGCGGUGAAAUGCGCAGAUAUCGGGAAGAACACCCGUGGCGAAGGCGGCUCUCUGGGACGGUACUGACGCUGAGACGCGAAAGCGUGGGGAGCAAACAGG